UAUUUUCGCAUUUAAUAAAGUGUAGUUUUCAAAAAGUAAAAAGUGAAGUGUAUUUUUCAAAUUUAAAACUAUAAAUAAUGUAUUUUUCAAAUUAUCCCUAUUAUUUAGCUCUAAAUUUAAAAAAAUAGUAAGAGGUUUUAGAUAAAACUUUCAUUUGCCAUGUUCAUUGGUUACUUGUGCCUAAAAAAUAAUGGAACUCAACCUCCCCCUAUCAAGCCACCGCCCCAUUACCUUUCCUUUCACUAUAACUAACCUAAUAAAUAUUUUUAGCAUAAU
rnacentral:lncRNA from 1 species